ACUGUAAGAACUAAGUUACAAAGAACUAGAAAACUUCCCCACCCCAAUUCUCAUAUGUGCAAGUGCUUCUUUUCCCCACCCAAUCCUCAUAUGUUCAAGUACUUCUUUUCCCCACCCAAUCCUCAUAUGUUCAUGUACUUCUUUUUGGGAACCUGAAGUGGCGUUGUUGUAUUUAUGGUGCUUUUAUAUACGUUCAUGGGAAGCUAGCUAAACUAUAUAUACCAUACCACACCUAUUUCUUCUUUGUGGAAGCGAAUUGACUAAAAAUUAAUUUCAUUAUAUCAACACAUAUUUUUGCAGUGUGACUUUUUUUUUUGAACUUCACACUUCACUGUCAAUGUGUCAUGGGUCUCUUGUGUGCGUGGCUUUUUUUAUUAUUAUUUUGAAGUUUGGAGCUGGUUGAAUAUCAGGCAUGCGCUUAGUCUCAAACUCUAAAUAGUCUUGAAAGUUUUCUUCUAAAGCUGUGGUACUUCCUACUCACGAAUUUCCCUUUUGGUAAAUCAUGUAUUGGAAACCUUUAUGAUGAGAGCACUCGGUGAGUCUUUGACAGAAGAAUAUGCAUGUUUUACUCUUGUUUUUAGGUUGGGCGACCUUUCUGUUAUACAUAUAUAUGUAUAACUGAUAAGUGAUAACAAGUAAAACUAAUAACUGAUGUAUUAUGUGUAUUUUUUAGUGGAAGCUUUGAUUCUACUGGAGCAUGGACAGAAGAAAGGAAAUGAUCUUGCCUGGUGGUGUUAUUAGGAGGAUGUCAGAUGAAUGAGGAUGCUGAAGCAUAAUUGGAACUUUUGAGAUUGUUUUGUAUGGACAUUCCCUGGCUACGAGGGAGGCAGUCGAGAGUUGGAUGAAAUGAUAUUAGCAAAUGGAUCAUGUAUGAAAGUGCCAAUCAUUUGAACUUCUGGCCAGCCACUUGCUUAUGAGGCUCCCGUAAGUAGGGUUUCGGAUUGGACAUCGAUGUUGGAUUUACCGGGCUUUCCAUAGUUGUCGAGGUUUGUUAAUGUUAAGGCCCGCUUAACUCAUCUUUCAGGCCCGGGGCUUCACGGGUAUAAGCCUGAGCCCAUCUAAAUUUUGCCCGAUCUGGCUUCUGUGGUCAGGAUUGAGCCCAUUAGAGACGGGUCUCAAACGUUCAAAUUAUUACUCGCACUAGCGCCCCAUUUUAGGUGGGUAAAGCCCAUUAGGAUUAAGCAAGCAUCUUUAAGGCCCAGGGCUUCAAUUGUUUGG